rnacentral:tRNA from 1 species
GGGGUCUUAGCUCAGUUGGUAGAGCGCUUCGUUCGCAUCGAAGAGGUCAGGGGUUCAACUCCCCUAGGCUCCA